AUUGAACGCUGGCGGCAUGCCUUACACAUGCAAGUCGAACGGCAGCGGGGGAGAAGCUUGCUUUUCCUGCCGGCGAGUGGCGAACGGGUGAGUAAUACAUCGGAACGUGCCCUGUAGUGGGGGAUAACUAGUCGAAAGAUUAGCUAAUACCGCAUACGACCUGAGGGUGAAAGUGGGGGACCGCAAGGCCUCAUGCUAUAGGAGCGGCCGAUGUCUGAUUAGCUAGUUGGUGGGGUAAAGGCCUACCAAGGCGACGAUCAGUAGCUGGUCUGGGGGGACGAUCGGCCACACGGGGACUGAAACCCGCCCCGGACCCCGCCGGGAGGCAGGAGGGGGGAACUUGGGACAAUGGGGGCAACCCUGUUCCAGCAAUGCCGCGUGUGUGAAGAAGGCCUUCGGUUUUUAAAGCACUUUCGUCCGGAAAGAAAUCGCGCUGGUUAAUACCUGGCGUGGAUGACGGUACCGGAAGAAUAAGCACCGGCUAACUACGUGCCAGCCGCCGCGGUAA
rnacentral:rRNA from 1 species